GCCUAGAUGCACAAAUAUAAUUAAAUAUUUUUAAUAUUUAAAAACAAUAAAUAAGAAGAAUAAACUAGCAAAUAACUAACUUGACAAUAUAAUAAUAAAAUGAAGAAAGAGAGAGAAGAUGGCCUGUGGAUCGAAGCACGCUGAUGUGCUGUCCCAGGAAAGUUUAUGCCCCCCACGCACGGGUCUGCUGGCACAGAUCUCCUAGAGAUACGACGACCCAAUACAGAACCACGUCUUCCCCGUCAGUGCGCCUCCAGGGAAGAAAGAAGAGCACGUUCACGCUUGCAGAUAGCUCAAAAGAAACUUAGAAAAAUUAUGAGGAGAAGAAAAAUUUUCUUUAUUUCUUUU
rnacentral:lncRNA from 1 species